rnacentral:rRNA from 1 species
UUAAGCGACUAAGCGUACACGGUGGAUGCCCUGGCAGUCAGAGGCGAUGAAGGACGUGCUAAUCUGCGAUAAGCGUCGGUGAGGUGAUAUGAACCGUUAUAACCGGCGAUUUCCGAAUGGGGAAACCCAGUGUGUUUCGACACACUAUCAUUAACUGAAUCCAUAGGUUAAUGAGGCGAACCGGGGGAACUGAAACAUCUAAGUACCCCGAGGAAAAGAAAUCAACCGAGAUUCCCCCAGUAGCGGCGAGCGAACGGGGAGCAGCCCAGAGCCUGAAUCAGUGUGUGUGUUAGUGGAAGCGUCUGGAAAGGCGUGCGAUACAGGGUGACAGCCCCGUACACAAAAAUGCACAUACUGUGAGCUCGAUGAGUAGGGCGGGACACGUGGUAUCCUGUCUGAAUAUGGGGGGACCAUCCUCCAAGGCUAAAUACUCCUGACUGACCGAUAGUGAACCAGUACCGUGAGGGAAAGGCGAAAAGAACCCCGGCGAGGGGAGUGAAAAAGAACCUGAAACCGUGUACGUACAAGCAGUGGGAGCCUCUUAAUGGGGUGACUGCGUACCUUUUGUAUAAUGGGUCAGCGACUUAUAUUCUGUAGCAAGGUUAACCGAAUAGGGGAGCCGAAGGGAAACCGAGUCUUAACUGGGCGUUAAGUUGCAGGGUAUAGACCCGAAACCCGGUGAUCUAGCCAUGGGCAGGUUGAAGGUUGGGUAACACUAACUGGAGGACCGAACCGACUAAUGUUGAAAAAUUAGCGGAUGACUUGUGGCUGGGGGUGAAAGGCCAAUCAAACCGGGAGAUAGCUGGUUCUCCCCGAAAGCUAUUUAGGUAGCGCCUCGUGAAUUCAUCUCCGGGGGUAGAGCACUGUUUCGGCAAGGGGGUCAUCCCGACUUACCAACCCGAUGCAAACUGCGAAUACCGGAGAAUGUUAUCACGGGAGACACACGGCGGGUGCUAACGUCCGUCGUGAAGAGGGAAACAACCCAGACCGCCAGCUAAGGUCCCAAAGUCAUGGUUAAGUGGGAAACGAUGUGGGAAGGCCCAGACAGCCAGGAUGUUGGCUUAGAAGCAGCCAUCAUUUAAAGAAAGCGUAAUAGCUCACUGGUCGAGUCGGCCUGCGCGGAAGAUGUAACGGGGCUAAACCAUGCACCGAAGCUGCGGCAGCGACACUAUGUGUUGUUGGGUAGGGGAGCGUUCUGUAAGCCUGCGAAGGUGUACUGUGAGGUAUGCUGGAGGUAUCAGAAGUGCGAAUGCUGACAUAAGUAACGAUAAAGCGGGUGAAAAGCCCGCUCGCCGGAAGACCAAGGGUUCCUGUCCAACGUUAAUCGGGGCAGGGUGAGUCGACCCCUAAGGCGAGGCCGAAAGGCGUAGUCGAUGGGAAACAGGUUAAUAUUCCUGUACUUGGUGUUACUGCGAAGGGGGGACGGAGAAGGCUAUGUUGGCCGGGCGACGGUUGUCCCGGUUUAAGCGUGUAGGCUGGUUUUCCAGGCAAAUCCGGAAAAUCAAGGCUGAGGCGUGAUGACGAGGCACUACGGUGCUGAAGCAACAAAUGCCCUGCUUCCAGGAAAAGCCUCUAAGCAUCAGGUAACAUCAAAUCGUACCCCAAACCGACACAGGUGGUCAGGUAGAGAAUACCAAGGCGCUUGAGAGAACUCGGGUGAAGGAACUAGGCAAAAUGGUGCCGUAACUUCGGGAGAAGGCACGCUGAUAUGUAGGUGAAGUCCCUCGCGGAUGGAGCUGAAAUCAGUCGAAGAUACCAGCUGGCUGCAACUGUUUAUUAAAAACACAGCACUGUGCAAACACGAAAGUGGACGUAUACGGUGUGACGCCUGCCCGGUGCCGGAAGGUUAAUUGAUGGGGUUAGCGGUAACGCGAAGCUCUUGAUCGAAGCCCCGGUAAACGGCGGCCGUAACUAUAACGGUCCUAAGGUAGCGAAAUUCCUUGUCGGGUAAGUUCCGACCUGCACGAAUGGCGUAAUGAUGGCCAGGCUGUCUCCACCCGAGACUCAGUGAAAUUGAACUCGCUGUGAAGAUGCAGUGUACCCGCGGCAAGACGGAAAGACCCCGUGAACCUUUACUAUAGCUUGACACUGAACAUUGAGCCUUGAUGUGUAGGAUAGGUGGGAGGCUUUGAAGUGUGGACGCCAGUCUGCAUGGAGCCGGCCUUGAAAUACCACCCUUUAAUGUUUGAUGUUCUAACGUUGGCCCCUGAUCGGGGUUGCGGACAGUGUCUGGUGGGUAGUUUGACUGGGGCGGUCUCCUCCUAAAGAGUAACGGAGGAGCACGAAGGUUGGCUAAUCCUGGUCGGACAUCAGGAGGUUAGUGCAAUGGCAUAAGCCAGCUUGACUGCGAGCGUGACGGCGCGAGCAGGUGCGAAAGCAGGUCAUAGUGAUCCGGUGGUUCUGAAUGGAAGGGCCAUCGCUCAACGGAUAAAAGGUACUCCGGGGAUAACAGGCUGAUACCGCCCAAGAGUUCAUAUCGACGGCGGUGUUUGGCACCUCGAUGUCGGCUCAUCACAUCCUGGGGCUGAAGUAGGUCCCAAGGGUAUGGCUGUUCGCCAUUUAAAGUGGUACGCGAGCUGGGUUUAGAACGUCGUGAGACAGUUCGGUCCCUAUCUGCCGUAGGCGCUGGAGAACUGAGGGGGGCUGCUCCUAGUACGAGAGGACCGGAGUGGACGCAUCACUGGUGUUCGGGUUGUCAUGCCAAUGGCACUGCCCGGUAGCUAAAUGCGGAAGAGAUAAGUGCUGAAAGCAUCUAAGCACGAAACUUGCCCCGAGAUGAGUUCUCCCUGACUCUUUAAGGGUCCUGAAGGAACGUUGAAGACGACGACGUUGAUAGGCCGGGUGUGUAAGCGCAGCGAUGCGUUGAGCUAACCGGUACUAAUGAACCGUGAGGCUUAACCU